AACGAACGCUGGCGGCAUGCCUAACACAUGCAAGUCGAACGAGACCUCCGGGUCUUGUGGCGCACGGGUGCGGAACGCGUGGGAACCUGCCCUUAGGUUCGGAAUCCCUCCCCGAAAGGGGUCCUAAUACCGUCUAAUGUCUUAGGACCAAAGAUUUAUUGCUUCUGGAUGGGGCCGGGUCGGUUUAGCUGGUUGGUAGGGUAAAAGCCUACCAAGGCGAUGUUCCAUGGCUGGUCUGGGAGGAGGAUCAGCCACACUGGGACGGCGACACGGCCCAGACUCCUACGCAAGGCAGCGGUGGGGAGUAUUGUGCAAUGAGCGAAAGCCUAAUCCAGCAAUGCCGCGUGAGUGGUGAAGGCGUUAGGAUUGUAAUGCUCUUUUACCCGGGAUGAUAAUGACAGUACCGGGAGAAUAAGCACCGGCUAACUCCGUG
rnacentral:rRNA from 1 species